rnacentral:rRNA from 1 species
AGGGUGCAAGCGUUAAUCGGAAUUACUGGGCGUAAAGCGCACGCAGGCGGUUUGUUAAGUCAGAUGUGAAAUCCCCGAGCUUAACUUGGGAACUGCAUUUGAAACUGGCAAGCUAGAGUCUUGUAGAGGGGGGUAGAAUUCCAGGUGUAGCGGUGAAAUGCGUAGAGAUCUGGAGGAAUACCGGUGGCGAAGGCGGCCCCCUGGACAAAGACUGACGCUCAGGUGCGAAAGCGUGGGGAGCAAACAGGAUUAGAUACCCUGGUAGUCCACGCUGUAAACGAUGUCGACUUGGAGGUUGUGCCCUUGAGGCGUGGCUUCCGGAGCUAACGCGUUAAGUCGACCGCCUGGGGA